AUUUGAUUUAUCCAAAUUUUACACUUACAAUAUAGAUCGCCCAUCUUAGUUAACCGCUCUAUAUGUUUAACAUUAUUUAUUUUAAAAAGAAAAAGAAAAGGCUAACAUACAAAGAGGCCCAAAUUCUAACCCUAACUCCUCUGUAGCCGUCAUUCUCCUUUCCUCUUUCCUCAUCUCUCACGCACUUCCCUCCUCUAAAACCCUUACUUCUUUCUCUUCUCUCUUCAUUCCUCAAUGUCUGAUCCUAAAAAUCUCCGAGCUAACGUCCAAUUAUCUUCCUCCUCGUCGUCUUCUUCCUCUAUUUACAACUAUCCUAUUCGUUGCAUUGCUUUGUUUUUCAACCCCAACUCCAACUCCAACUCCGAUGCAGUACGGUGCGCGAAAGCUCGAACCAUUACAGUCUCGAUUUUUCUUUGUUUAUGGUCAUUGUUGCAGGUUGAAUAGAGUUUUACAUUAUCGAGGUAGGUGGUAGUUGCAAAUGGUGGCAUUGAAUUGAUUUUGGUGGGUCGUGUGAGUGUGGUGUUCACUAUUUGCGUGCACUAUUGAUGGAGGUGUUGCGGUGGUUGAGGUGGUGGAGACGUUGCGGUGGUUGAGGUUGGUGGAGGCGAUGCUAGUGGUUUAAGUUGGGGGAAGCGCUGCUAGUGGUUCAGGUUGUUGAAGCGCCGCUGCGAUUGAAUUGCUUUUGAUAAUUCAAGUUGCAAUUUCGAACUAGUUACUAGUUAGCAGUUUAGCACACUAAUAAUUAUUAAGUUAGCAGUAGAAUUGUAUCAAAUGUACUUGAGAUGUAAAUAUUUGAUUUUUUUUUUUUUAAAGAUGUAAAUAUUUGAAUAUAAAGGAUAAUAAAAGUUCAUUUUAAUUGA